rnacentral:rRNA from 1 species
UAAUUGAAGAGUUUGAUCAUGGCUCAGAUUGAACGCUGGCGGCAGGCCUAACACAUGCAAGUCGAGCGGUAACAGGGGAAGCUUGCUUCUCGCUGACGAGCGGCGGACGGGUGAGUAAUGUAUGGGGAUCUGCCCGAUAGAGGGGGAUAACCACUGGAAACGGUGGCUAAUACCGCAUAAUCUCUUAGGAGCAAAGCAGGGGAACUUCGGUCCUUGCGCUAUCGGAUGAACCCAUAUGGGAUUAGCUAGUAGGUGGGGUAAUGGCUCACCUAGGCGACGAUCCCUAGCUGGUCUGAGAGGAUGAUCAGCCACACUGGGACUGAGACACGGCCCAGACUCCUACGGGAGGCAGCAGUGGGGAAUAUUGCACAAUGGGCGCAAGCCUGAUGCAGCCAUGCCGCGUGUAUGAAGAAGGCC